UGAACUUUAUAAACUAUAUAAAGGUCAAAUCAUGUUUUACUUUUCACAUGAAAAGACGAAAAUUAUGGUUGAAAUUCACAAGUUUGUUUUUGCUAUGAUUCAAUUUAUUUCCUUAUUUCUUAUCACAAUAGAAGUUGGUCGUUUGCGUUAUGGAUGUGAAACGGAUGCGGAUUGUCCACGAUAUACACACAAUAAUUUUUCUUUGAAAUGCAUUAAUAAAAAAUGUGAAUGGUCUGCAAAGCUUCACUAGUUCUCUGAGCACCAAAUCAAAGAGAAUGAAAAAAACUCCCUCUAUAGGAGAAUGAGUUAUCAUGUUAGCAAAGCAAAUAUGCAAUACAUGUUAUGUUCGAAUAUCACAAGAGUUGUCAUUUAUUUAUUAAUGUACUAGACCAAUGAUUUUAUUUUUAUUUUCAUAAA